CAUUAUCAGUAUUAGAGGCAAUGCCUGCCCAGUGACAUUAGUUAAACGGCCGCGGUAUCCUGACCGUGCAAAGGUAGCAUAAUCAUUUGUUCCUUAAUUAGGGACUUGUAUGAAUGGCCCCACGAGGGUUUGACUGUCUCUUACUUUUAAUCAGUGAAAUUGACCUUCCCGUGAAGAGGCGGGAAUACAUAAAUAAGACGAGAAGACCCUAUGGAGCUUAAAUUAAUUUGUUCAAUCAAAAUUCAAUUUUUAUCCAACAGGAAUAAUAACAUUUUAACUGAACAACAAAUUUUGGUUGGGGUGACCUCGGAGUACAAAAGAACCUCCGAGCGAUUUAACUAAGACAUACUAGUCAAGGCCAUAUAACUCAUUGAUCCAAUCAUAUUGAUCAACGGAACAAGUUACCCUAGGGAUAACAGCGCAAUCCUAUUUGAGAGUUCAUAUCGACAAUAGGGUUUACGACCUCGAUGUUGGAUCAGGACACCCAAAUGGUGCAGCAGCUNNNNNAGGUUCGUUU
rnacentral:rRNA from 1 species